rnacentral:rRNA from 1 species
AGCAGCCGCGGUAAUUCCAGCUCCAAUAGCGUAUAUUAAAGUUGUUGCAGUUAAAAAGCUCGUAGUUGAACUUCGGGGUCUACCCAUUGGUCAGGCUUAAUUGUCUGCACUGGUAGGAUGGAUCUCUACCUUCUGAGGAACUUUCAUGCCAUUUAUUUGGUGUGAUGGGAAAUCAGGACUGUUACUUUGAAAAAUUAGAGUGUUUAAAGCAGACUAUCGUCUGAAUACAUUAGCAUGGAAUAAUGAAAUAGGACGGACUGAUUCUAUUUCGUUGGUUUCUAGGAUCACCGUAAUGAUUAAUAGGGAUAGUUGGGGGCAUUAGUAUUCAAUUGUCAGAGGUGAAAUUCUUGGAUUUAUUGAAGACUAACUACUGCGAAAGCAUUUGCCAAGGAUGUUUUCAUUAAUCAAGAACGAAAGUUAGGGGAUCGAAGACGAUCAGAUACCGUCGUAGUCUUAACCAUAAACUAUGCCGACUAGGGAUCGGACGAAGUUAAUUUUAUAGUGAGCGUUCGG